ensembl:lncRNA
CGGGAACCGUCUGGGGCCGGCCCUAGGCUGCGUGCACUUCCCCGGUCCAAGCCGCUCAGGUUCGGCCCUCAGGCAGCCCUCAGAGGCACAAAUGCGGCUGGGACUGCGCUUUGUGCCCUUCCCAGGUCCGAGUAGCUCAGGAGUUUGGUGAGCGCAACUGCCGUGGCUUGUCACCUUUUCCGCCGCUGCCGCUCAGCUCUCUGGGUGGACCGCUGGCGCACCCCGUGAGGCAGACUGUGACUGUCCAGCACCCCCAGAAGUCUUAGCAAAGGAGCCUGCUUGCAGUUAGGCAGUUACUCUGAGCUGAGCCAGGGUCACAUCUACAUCCCUGCUCCUGAAAUAGCUGAACUCAUCACCUCUUCAGAGGAGAAGCUUUGCAAAUGAGAGUAAAGGCUGCGGAUCUCCACAAAAGGCUUUGAAACUCUCUCCCGUGCCCUCCUGCCAGGGAGGCCUGGCGUGAUGCAAUUCAUGGGGUCGCAGAGUCGGACACAACUGAGCGACUGAACUGAACUGAAAUAUAGUUAAGUUCUUCUCAUGAGCUUGAUAUAUGUCUUGCUUCUACAGGUGUGUGGUGAUGAUGACUGC